rnacentral:rRNA from 1 species
UACGUAGGGGGCGAGCGUUGUGCGGACUCAUUGGGCGGAAAGGGCGAGUAGGCGGCCCGGUAAGUCCGCUCUGAAAGUCCAGGGCUCAACCCUGGAAAGCGGGUGGAUACUGCCGGGCUGGAAUCCGGAAGAGGCGAGUGGAAUUCCUGGUGAAGCGGUGGAAUGCGCAGAUAUCAGGAGGAACACCAAUAGCGAAGGCAGCUCGCUGGGACGGUAUUGGCGCUAAGGCGCGAAAGCGUGGGGAGCAAAUAGG